rnacentral:rRNA from 1 species
UACGGAGGAUGCAAGCGUUAUCCGGAAUGAUUGGGCGUAAAGCGUCCGCAGGUGGCUGUGUAAGUCUGCUGUUAAAGAGCAAAGCUUAACUUUGUAAAAGCAGUGGAAACUACAUAGCUAGAGUGCGUUCGGGGCAGAGGGAAUUCCUGGUGUAGCGGUGAAAUGCGUAGAGAUCAGGAAGAACACCGGUGGCGAAGGCGCUCUGCUAGGCCGCAACUGACACUGAGGGACGAAAGCUAGGGGAGCGAAUGGG